rnacentral:tRNA from 1 species
AGGCGGCAUCGCCAAGCGGCUAAGGCAGGAGAUUGCAAAUCUCCCAUUCCCCGGUUCGAGUCCGGGUGCCGCCUCCAA